AAAACUAUGCCGGACUAGGGGAUCGGGCGUAUGUUAUCUUUUGACUCGCUCGGCAACCUUACGAGAAAUCAAAGUUUUUGGGGUUCUGGGGGGAGUAUGGUCGCAAAGGCUGAAAACUUAAAGAAAUUGACGGAAGGGCACCACCAGGGAGUGGAGCCUGCGGCUUAAAUUUGACCCAACACGGGGAAACUCACCAGGUCCAGACACGAAUAAGGAUUGACAGAUUGAGAGUCUCUUUCUUGAUUUUGUGGGUGGUGGUGCAUGGCCGUUCUUAGUUGGUGGAGUGAUUUGUCUGCUUAAUUGCGAUAACGAACGAGACCUUAACCUGCUAAAUAGCCCGUACUGCUUUGGCAGUUCGCCGGCUUCUUAGAGGGACUAUCGGCUCAAGCCGAUGGAAGUUUGAGGCAAUAACAGGUCUGUGAUGCCCUUAGAUGUCCUGGGCCGCACGCGCGUUACACUGACAGAGCCAGCGAGUAUUUCCUUGACCGGAAGGUCCGGGUAAUCUUGUUAAACUCUGUCGUGC
rnacentral:rRNA from 1 species